UGCCAGGAAGCCACUUAGGUCAUAGAUUAAGCCAUGCAAGUGUUAGUUCAGGUAACGAAACUGCGAAUAGCUCAUUAAUACGCUCAGAAUCUAUUUGGCGGCGACCAACAGGUCUUAAAUGGAUAGCAGCAGCAACUCUGGUGCUAAUACAUGCGAUUGUUUCUCCAGAUGUGAAUUAUGGAGGAAAAGUUGACCUCAUCAGAGGCACGCCAUUCGACUGAGUGACCUAUCAGCUUGUACUUAGGGUCUUUACCUAGGUAGGCUAUCACGGGUAACGGGCGGUUACCGUCGGACUGCCGGAGAAGGCGCCUGAGAGAUAGCGACUAUAUCCACGGGUAGCAGCAGGCGCGAAACUUUCCCACUCGAGACUUUCGGAGGAGGUAAUGACCAGUUCCAUUGGUGCCUUUUGGUACUGUGGAUAGGGGUACGGUUUUCCACCGUACCGAAACCUAGCAGAGGGCCAGUCUGGUGCCAGCAGCUGCGGUAAUUCCAGCUCUGCGAGUUUGCUCCCAUAUUGUUGCAGUUAAAACGCCCGUAGUCUGAAUUGGCCAGCAAUGGUCGUACGUAUUUUUACGUUCACUGUGAACAAAUCAGGACGCUUAGAGUAUGGCCACAUGAAUGACUCAGCGCAGUAUGAAGUCUUUGUUUUCUUCCGAAAACAAGCUCAAUGAGAGCCAUCGGGGGUAGAUCUAUCUCAUGACGAGUGGUGGAAUACUUUGACUCAUGAGAGAGAAGCUGAGGCGAAGGCGUCUACCUAGAGGGUUUCUGUCGAUCAAGGGCGAGAGUAGGAGUAUCCAACAGGAUUAGAGACCCUGGUAGUUCCUACCUUAAACGAUGCCGACAGGAGUUUGUCAUUUGUUAAUGGCAGAAUCUUUGGAGAAAUCAUAGUUCUUGGGCUCUGGGGGAACUACGACCGCAAGGCUGAAACUU
rnacentral:ncRNA from 2 species